AGAACGUCAUAUUUUGUCAGUUAUGUUUAAUGUAUGUGAUGACUUCACGGAGUCCCCACAAUGCAGGCUUUGGUUAAAUAUGUGUAAAUGAGAGAGAUGUUGGGAAAAUACUGUUAGCUAGCCUAGUGUCCCCACAAGUCACAUGGUCACAAAAUGUGUUAAGCGUCCUCACAAAGAAUGUUUAGGCCUUAAUGUGUGUAAGCAGUGAGGAAACACUACAUUUGCAUAUCUCAGUGCAUGUUUGAGUUUUGCAAAGUUGUAACAUGUCUUCUGCUUUAUGUUUGGUCCAAUGUAAUAGAAGUGUUAUGUGUAUAUGAAGUCUGUCUUUGAAUUUCUUGGUUAAUUUCUCAAUGUACCAUAUUUGAACAAAUCAGGGAGGACACAGUUUCCAAGAGUAACAUCAAAGAGAAUCAGCCACCAUCCCCGUCAGAACCUGUUCUAUCUACUUGUUCCUCAGCAAGUGAUCAGAGGACUGGAAAGAACACAAUAUCAGAAAACAGUGCUCAAGAGAACUAUCAGCUGUUGCAAUCAGGACCUGUUCUGUUUGCUUGUUCCUUAGCAAGUGAUCAAAGGUCUAAGAAGGACACAAUUUCAGAGAGCAGUGCUCAAGAGGACUGUCUGCCAUUGCAGUCCAGACCUGCUCUGUCUGCAUGUUCCUCAGCAAGUGAUAAGAUGAGAAAUUCCAAUCCUGAGAAGAUUGCAUGGGUCACCCCUAUGUCUCGUCAGUCAGAGCCUCUGAAGGAUCACAGCAACAACAGCAGUUCU